UGGGGGAUAUUGCACAAUGGGGGAAACCCUGAUGCAGCGACGCCGCGUGGAGGAAGAAGGUUUUCGGAUUGUAAACUCCUGUCGUUAGGGACGAUAAUGACGGUACCUAACAAGAAAGCACCGGCUAACUACGUGCCAGCAGCCGCGGUAAAACGUAGGGUGCAAGCGUUGUCCGGAAUUACUGGGUGUAAAGGGAGCGCAGGCGGACCGGCAAGUUGGAAGUGAAAACUAUGGGCUCAACCCAUAAAUUGCUUUCAAAACUGCUGGCCUUGAGUAGUGCAGAGGUAGGUGGAAUUCCCGGUGUAGCGGUGGAAUGCGUAGAUAUCGGGAGGAACACCAGUGGCGAAGGCGACUUACUGGGCACCAACUGACGCUGAGGCUCGAAAGCAUGGGUAGCAAACAGG
rnacentral:rRNA from 1 species